rnacentral:rRNA from 1 species
CCUACGGGAGGCAGCAGUGGGGAAUAUUGGGCAAUGGGCGCAAGCCUGACCCAGCAACGCCGCGUGAAGGUAGAAGGCUUUCGGGUUGUAAACUUCUUUUGUCAGGGACGAAUCAAGUGACGGUACCUGACGAAUAAGCCACGGCUAACUACGUGCCCGCAGCCGCGGUAAUACGUAGGUGGCAAGCGUUAUCCGGAUUUAUUGUGUUUAAAGGGCGUGUAGGCGGGAAUGCACGUCAGAUGUGAAAACUAUGGGCUCAACCCAUAGCCUGCAUUUGAAACUGUAUUUCUUGAGUGCUGGAGAGGCAAUCGGAAUGCGGGGUGUAGCGGUGAAAUGCGUAGAUAUACGGAGGAACACCAGUGGCGAAGGCGGAUUGCUGGACAGUAACUGACGCUGAGGCGCGAAAGCGUGGGGAGCAAACAGGAUUAGAUACCCGGGUAGUC